AUGCCUAGGAAAGCUCAUGAGGGACUGGGGCGGCGCUCUUGUGGGCUGGCAGGUCCCGUCCCCCGCGGUGAAGCCCCGGCCGAAGCGGCGAUGCGCCUCAUUCAGAACAUGUGCACCAUAGCCGAGUACCCCGCCCCGGGCAGCGCAGCCGCAGCAGAUUUCUGCCUGGGGGCCGCAGGCCGCCGCCUGGUCAAGAUCGCCGUAGUGGGCGCCAGUGGCGUGGGCAAGACUGCUCUCGUGGUCCGGUUCCUCACCAAACGAUUCAUCGGCGACUAUGAAAGAAAUGCAGGUAAUCUCUAUACCAGACAAGUCCAAAUAGAAGGUGAAACCCUGGCUAUUCAGGUUCAAGACACUCCAGGUAUUCAGGUCCACGAGAAUGGCCUGAGCUGCACCGAGCAGCUGAACAGGUGUAUCCGCUGGGCAGACGCCGUGGUGAUCGUCUUCUCCAUCACUGACUACAAGAGCUAUGAGCUCACCAGCCAGCUUUACCAGCACGUGCAGCAGCUGCACCUGGGUGCCCGGCUGCCCGUGGUGGUUGUGGCCAACAAGGCCGACCUGCUACACAUCAAGCAGGUGGACCCACAGCUCGGACUGCAGCUGGCCAGCAUGCUGGGCUGCUCCUUCUAUGAGGUGUCCGUCAGCGAGAAUGACAAUGACGUCUACAACGCUUUCCACGUGCUGUGCAAAGAAGUGAGUCACAAACAGCAGCCCAGUGGCACGCCAGAGAAGCGACGGACCUCCCUCAUCCCUCGGCCCAAGUCCCCCAACAUGCAGGACCUGAAGAGGAGGUUCAAGCAAGCCCUCUCGGCCAAAGUCAGGACUGUCACCUCCGUCUGAAGCAGGGGUACUUGAGGGGGUUCGGUCUUCCCGGGAACGGGUCCGGGGUGAUGCAGGAACGUUGGAUGCUGGCGGUUACUUGUGGUUCCAG
rnacentral:lncRNA from 1 species